rnacentral:ncRNA from 1 species
GUGUUGUGUGAAAGCGAAGGUUAGCACUGCCCUUAAUAAGGAUAACAACAAGCAUAACCCAGAUGCCCCUCAGUAGAUGAACGGGGCAAGAAAAUGU